rnacentral:lncRNA from 1 species
GGAAAUUAGUGAUGUUAAAGACUGGGGAAUCUUGUCUAGCUACCUGCUUCUGUUUGUUCACCCAUUCAGCUGUAGCUAGAGUACUUGUCUCCUUUGGUAACUCUGGUUGCUGGAUUUGAGCCAUCUGGUUACUUUGGUCCACUGUGACUGGGGCUUUCACUCUCCAUUCCUGUGUCACCUUGUUUUUCUGUGUAGGUUGAGCAGAUUUAGCCAAACAGUUGUGUCCAACCUCCAAACAUUUCUCACAAUACACAGGUAUCCAAUCAUAACUCACAUCCUGCAUGAAGCUCUUUCCAUUUGGGUCCAGAAUCUCUAUCUCACUAGGUAGCUUACUCGACACAUUUACCUCAAUGAGCAUACGAGAUUCUAGAUUGCUUAGUUGUACAUUCGUCAGCAAAUAUAGGUCUACCAAGGACACUAGCAAUCCUACUUAAAGAUUUGCUACCCCAACAGGACAUUGUACAUUCGUCAGCAAAUAUAGGUCUACCAAGGACACUAGCAAUCCUACUUAAAGAUUUGCUACCCCAGCAGGACAUAGGCAAGUUAGGGAACUUGAUCCACAAGGGGAUUUCUGAAGGAAAGGCUGCUUUGAAAUAAAAUUCAGCAGACCACUGCUUCAAAAUCAUAGGUCUGUUAGCAAUAGUAGAAGGACCCCCACACAGAAUUUCUUUGGCAUCAUCUAGGGUACUAAAUUUAACAAUAUAGUAACCCUCAUCAUGAUAAAAUAGCUCGGGUUCAGGCACACGAGACCAGUGGAGGUUAAUAAACCUUUUCAUACCAUUAUACCCAGGGCUAUUACCUAUCACAAAUACAACAAGGGCACAUUUCCAUUUUACUUCUUCCUCUUCCACCUCUUCCUUCACCAGCUGACCAACUGGUUUACCAUUAACAAGUGUAGGGGGAAUAUACUCUAGAGACAUACCAUUCGCAGCAAGUCGAUUACUCUGGAAUAGGCUAGCCCACUGUUUGGGUGAAUCAAUUUUUGCUCCUUCUUCACUAGCAGCCUUUGGAACAACAGGUGGUGGUGGUUGUUGCAUGUGGUCCGGACCCCUAUUCUCAGGCUCCAUCGGGACAAUUACUGGACUAACUUCAGGAUCUGAGUUGUUAUCAACCCUCACAGUUACUGUUGGUAUCAGGGAAACUCCAGAUGGUUGUGGAUCUACUGUUGCAUGAGUCAAUGAAACAGUUUCUUCAGCAGAUUCCAAUGGAACAGUGCUAACUACCUGUGGAACAGUACUAACAGCUUUUGGGAAAACAACAUCGCUUGCAUAAAUUGGUACCAGCUCUUUCUUUGGUCGACCUCUCCUUCUUGCCAUAACACCCUCAGUGUAGGUUAACCUACCUACGCAGAGGCAGCAGAGAAGAAGAAGAUGAAUCAGCGAAGAAGAUGAGAAAGUUAGAGAGAAGGCAGAGCUUCUCUCUCU